GCUACAAUGACUUUGAUCCCCGUCUUCAUCUGGACACUGAUCCUCUGGACUCAAGAAUGCAGAGGUCAAGUCACAGUAACUCAGACUCCUGCAGUGAAAUCUGCUCUUCCAGGAGAAACAGUCACCAUCAACUGUAGAACCAGUCCGGCAGUGUAUCAUCACAGUUCAUACGGCCAUUAUUUAUACUGGUAUCAGCAGAAACCUGGAGAAGCUCCUAAACUCCUGAUUAAGUUUGCGAAUCAGCUACAGUCGGGUAUUCCAGCUCGUUUCAGUGGCAGUGGAUCUGGAUCUGAUUUCACUCUGACCAUCAGUGGAGUCCAGACUGAAGAUGCAGGAGAUUAUUACUGUCAGAGUUACCAUUAUAUCAGUAGUACCCACCUGUUCACACAGUGUUAUAGAGUCGUACAAAAACCUCCCUCAGUCAGAUUGUAGAGAGACUGCACUGCUGCAGCUGGGAGCGACUGCAGGUGCUGAGUUGGAGGAUGUGAUACGACACAAUGACACUCUGUGGAGGAG